AACCACACUAUCAACGAAUUGGUCCACCUGCGAGAUGACAUGGUUCUUUAUCUAUAUAUAUUUAGGAUGAGGCGUGUCAUCGUGAAUGUUCAACCUAGGAUGAAGCUCCCAAGUCCGCAUCCUAGGUGGAACAGCCACGUUAUCUCGCUGGUGGACCUGUUCAUUGAUAUGUAGUU
rnacentral:pre_miRNA from 1 species